AUUGAACGCUGGCGGCAGGCCUAACACAUGCAAGUCGAACGAGUGGCGGACGGGUGAGUAAUGUCUGGGAAACUGCCUGAUGGAGGGGGAUAACUACUGGAAACGGUAGCUAAUACCGCAUACCAUCGGAUGUGCCCAGAUGGGAUUAGCUAGUAGGUGGGGUAAAGGCUCACCUAGGCGACGAUCCCUAGCUGGUCUGAGAGGAUGACCGGCCACACUGGACCGGAGACACGGUCCAGAGUCCUACGGUAGGCAGCAGUGGGGAAUAGUUCACAAUGUGCGCAAGCCUGAUGCAGCCUUGCCGCGUGUAUGAAGAAGGCCUUCGGUUUGGAAAGUACUUUCUGCGUGGCGGCGUUACCCGCAGAAGAAGCACCGGCUAACUCCGUGCCAGCCGCCGCGGUAAUUC
rnacentral:rRNA from 1 species